rnacentral:rRNA from 1 species
AUGGCCGCGGUAUUUUGACCGUGCAAAGGUAGCAUAAUCAUUAGUUUUUUAAUUGAAAGCUGGAAUGAAUGGUUGGACAAGAAAAUUUCUGUCUCUACUUUAUUUUUUAGAAUUUUAUAUUUUAGUAAGAAAGCUUAAAUUUUUUUAAGGGACGAGAAGACCCUAUAGAAUUUUACAUAUAUUAAGGUUUUCAGUUUUUAGAAUAUUUAUUUUGUAAUUUGUUUAUAUGUUUUGUUGGGGUGAUAGAAAAAUUUAAAUAACUUUUUUUUGUUUCGAUCAUUGAUUAAUGAAUAUUUGAUCCAUUUGUUGUGAUUAUAAGAUUAAAUUACCUUAGGGAUAACAGC